GGGUGAGUAACACGUGGGCAACCUGCCCUGUAGACGGGGAUAACACCGAGAAAUCGGUGCUAAUACCGGAUAACACGAAAUGUCGCAUGACGUUUCGUUGAAAGACGGCGCAAGCUGUCGCUACAGGAUGGGCCCGCGGCGCAUUAGCUAGUUGGUGAGGUAACGGCUCACCAAGGCGACGAUGCGUAGCCGACCUGAGAGGGUGAUCGGCCACACUGGGACUGAGACACGCCCCAGACUCCUACGGGAGGCAGCAGUAGGGAAUCUUCCGCAAUGGACGAAAGUCUGACGGAGCAACGCCGCGUGAGCGAAGAAGGCCUUCGGGUCGUAAAGCUCUGUUGUUAGGGAAGAACAAGUAACGCAGUAACUGGCGUUACCGUGACGGUACCUAACGAGAAAGCCACGGCUAACUACGUGCCAGCAGCCGCGGUAAUACGUAGGUGGCAAGCGUUGUCCGGAAUUAUUGGGCGUAAAGCGCGCGCAGGCGGUUCCUUAAGUCUGAUGUGAAAGCCCACGGCUCAACCGUGGAGGGUCAUUGGAAACUGGGGGACUUGAGUGCAGAAGAGGAGAGCGGAAUUCCACGUGUAGCGGUGAAAUGCGUAGAGAUGUGGAGGAACACCAGUGGCGAAGGCGGCUCUCUGGUCUGUAUCUGACGCUGAGGCGCGAAAGCGUGGGAGCACACAGGAUUAGAUACCCUGGUAGUGCACGCCGUAAACGAUGAGUGCUAUGUGUUAGAGGGUAUCCGCCCUCUAGUGCUGUAGCUAACGCACUAAGCACUUCGCCUGGGGAGUACGCUCGCAAGAGUGAACUCAAAGGAAUUGACGGGGGGGCGCACAAGCGGUGGAGCAUGUGGUUUAAUUUGAAGCAACGCGAAGAACCUUACCAGGUCUUGACAUCCCCUGACAACCCGAGAGAUCGGGCGUUCCCCCUUCGGGGGGACAGGGUCACAGGUGGCGCAUGGUUGGUGCGUCAGCUCGUGUCGUGAGAUGUUGGGUUAAGUCCCGCAACGAGCGCAACCCUCGACCUUAG
rnacentral:rRNA from 1 species